GCAUUUUUCAUAAUGUUGAAAACUGCAGAUAGAAGACAAAGAACAUCCAGCUUACAACUCUCCAUUCAGAGAGGGAAAAAGAACAGACAACAAAGCUCAUGUCACUCUAAUUUCCAGCACGGUGGAGAGGCAUAGAUUAUUAAAUCUUGGGUGUCAUCUAUACCAGAAUCUCUCAAGGUGAAGCACAAAAGAAAGGAAAAAAAAAAA
rnacentral:misc_RNA from 1 species